CCCUUAGAUGUUCUGGGCCGCACGCGUGCUACACUGAGUGGAUCAGCGGGUCAGGUUACGCGAGAGCGUUUCCUAAUCUUCAAAUCCGCUCGUGAUGGGGAUUGACGGUUGCAAUUUUCCGUCAUGAACGAGGAAUACCUUGUAAGCGCGGGUCAUCAUCCCACGCUGAAUACGUCCCUGCCCUUUGUACACACCGCCCGUCGCUCCUACCGAUUGAGUGGUCCGGUGAGGCUUUGGGAUCUAAGCGAAAAGAGCGUUUCGCUCCUUUUGCUGGGAGAACUCAGUCGAACCUUAUCAUUUAGAGGAAGGAGAAGUCGUAACA
rnacentral:rRNA from 1 species